CCAAAGUAACCCAUGAGCCCAAAACAAAGUUUUGAGUGAGCCCAAUAUAGAAAAAAAACCGAAAAACACAUCGAAGAUACCUGCAGACAGAACGCCUCAAACCAAGACCCCAACAGCAUUCUAAAAUCCAGCCAAGAAAAGCCGCCCCAGGAGUGAAGAAACAGAAGACGCGAUCCUCCAACGAGCACCCUAGAAGUUGUAGUCACCAUUCGAAGGAAGCCUAUGGGAAUAAGCAACUCACAAGCAACAAUGCCAACGGGGGCACACAUACAAGUGGAAGAAGGUGAUACACCUUCCUGAGAGAAUCGCGAAAAUUCGAGAAAAAGAUUAGUGGUUACAAAUCUAAUAGGUGGCUUCAAGGAGAAACAGGAAAGGGCAUGGAUGACAGAGUGGCAAAGAGAGAACAGACAGGAAAUAAGAAAAGGGAUGACAGGGACCCUGGUUAUAGCUAGGGUGGAUCUGGAAACUCUCACACAAUGAAGAGAAGAACUCUCACAAAGAGAUAAGAACUCUAACGAGGAGAGAAGCAGGGCCUCCAAGGUGUCGGCCAAAAACAUAGGCCCAAGAAUUUGGUGGUAUGUUUUUUUAGACAUCUUCCGCCGGAAAAUUCCUCGAGGAGGUAUGUGCCAAUCAAGGAGUUGUUAUCGGAAGAAAUUUCCGCAGUUUAGCGGGAAACCACGGUGAAAGAUUUUGUCGCAUACUACUAUACGAAAGGGCUCAACGGGGUCCCUGCACUGGAUAUCUUAAGGUAUGAAGUUUGGCUGUCAAUAUGUAUGGUCUAGUUUAUUUAAUGAUUCAGUCUUGUGUAUACUUGCUAAGAUGAAAGCAUGUAUGGUCUAGGUUUCUGAGCAAUGGUCUUAUUUGUAUUCUAGAUUAUCAUUUAGAUUUAUUUCCUUGUAUUGCUCUGUUGUUUUUGUAUAAAUUCCUCUAAUUUGGAGAAAAUAAAGUACAGGAGAUUGUGAAAUUUAUUCUUAAAUAUAUAUUUUUAUAGUGA